UACGUAGGGCGCAAGCGUUGUCCGGAAUUAUUGGGCGUAAAGAGCUCGUAGGCGGUUUGUCGCGUCUGCUGUGAAAACCUGAGGCUCAACCUCGGGCUUGCAGUGGGUACGGGCAGACUAGAGUGCGGUAGGGGUGACUGGAAUUCCUGGUGUAGCGGUGAAAUGCGCAGAUAUUAGAAGGAACACCGGUGGCGAAGGCGCCACUCUGGGCCGAAACUGACGCUGAGGAGCGAAAGCGUGGGUAGCAAACAGG
rnacentral:rRNA from 1 species